rnacentral:tRNA from 2 species
UGGGUUGUGGCUCAGUGGUAGAGUGCUUGCCUAGCAUGCAUGAGGCACUGGGUUUGAUCCUCAGCACCACAU